rnacentral:rRNA from 1 species
CGUAGUCGAUGGGAAACAGGUUAAUAUUCCUGUACUUGGUGUUACUGCGAAGGGGGGACGGAGAAGGCUAUGUUGGCCGGGCGACGGUUGUCCCGGUUUAAGCGUGUAGGCUGGUUUUCCAGGCAAAUCCGGAAAACCAAGGCUGAGGCGUGAUGACGAGGCACUACGGUGCUGAAGCGACAAAUGCCCUGCUUCCAGGAAAAGCCUCUAAGCAUCAGGUAACAUCAAAUCGUACCCCAAACCGACACAGGUGGUCAGGUAGAGAAUACCAAGGCGCUUGAGAGAACUCGGGUGAAGGAACUAGGCAAAAUGGUGCCGUAACUUCGGGAGAAGGCACGCUGAUAUGUAGGUGAAGCGACUUGCUCGUGGAGCUGAAAUCAGUCGAAGAUACCAGCUGGCUGCAACUGUUUAUUAAAAACACAGCACUGUGCAAACACGAAAGUGGACGUAUACGGUGUGACGCCUGCCCGGUGCCGGAAGGUUAAUUGAUGGGGUUAGCGGCAACGCGAAGCUCUUGAUCGAAGCCCCGGUAAACGGCGGCCGUAACUAUAACGGUCCUAAGGUAGCGAAAUUCCUUGUCGGGUAAGUUCCGACCUGCACGAAUGGCGUAAUGAUGGCCAGGCUGUCUCCACCCGAGACUCAGUGAAAUUGAACUCGCUGUGAAGAUGCAGUGUACCCGCGGCAAGACGGAAAGACCCCGUGAACCUUUACUAUAGCUUGACACUGAACAUUGAGCCUUGAUGUGUAGGAUAGGUGGGAGGCUUUGAAGUGUGGACGCCAGUCUGCAUGGAGCCGACCUUGAAAUACCACCCUUUAAUGUUUGAUGUUCUAACGUUGGCCCCUAAUCGGGGUUGCGGACAGUGUCUGGUGGGUAGUUUGACUGGGGCGGUCUCCUCCUAAAGAGUAACGGAGGAGCACGAAGGUUGGCUAAUCCUGGUCGGACAUCAGGAGGUUAGUGCAAUGGCAUAAGCCAGCUUGACUGCGAGCGUGACGGCGCGAGCAGGUGCGAAAGCAGGUCAUAGUGAUCCGGUGGUUCUGAAUGGAAGGGCCAUCGCUCAACGGAUAAAAGGUACUCCGGGGAUAACAGGCUGAUACCGCCCAAGAGUUCAUAUCGACGGCGGUGUUUGGCACCUCGAUGUCGGCUCAUCACAUCCUGGGGCUGAAGUAGGUCCCAAGGGUAUGGCUGUUCGCCAUUUAAAGUGGUACGCGAGCUGGGUUUAGAACGUCGUGAGACAGUUCGGUCCCUAUCUGCCGUGGGCGCUGGAGAACUGAGGGGGGCUGCUCCUAGUACGAGAGGACCGGAGUGGACGCAUCACUGGUGUUCGGGUUGUCAUGCCAAUGGCACUGCCCGGUAGCUAAAUGCGGAAGAGAUAAGUGCUGAAAGCAUCUAAGCACGAAACUUGCCCCGAGAUGAGUUC